GCCGGGGUACCCAAGCCAGGAUAAGGGGCGGGCCUUGAGAGCCCGUGGCCACACAGGCCUCGUGGGUUCAAAUCCCACCCCCGGCG
rnacentral:tRNA from 2 species